rnacentral:rRNA from 1 species
AGCAGCCGCCGCGGGAAUACGAAGGGUGCAAGCGUUACUCGGAAUUACUGGGCGUAAAGCGUGCGUAGGUGGUGGUUUAAGUCCGUUGUGAAAGCCCUGGGCUCAACCUGGGAAUUGCAGUGGAUACUGGGUCACUAGAGUGUGGUAGAGGAUAGUGGAAUUUCCGGUGUAGCAGUGAAAUGCGUAGAGAUCGGAAGGAACAUCUGUGGCGAAGGCGACUAUCUGGGCCAACACUGACACUGAGGCACGAAAGCGUGGGGAGCAAACAGGAUUAGAUACCCCCGUAGUCCCUGUCUCUUAUAC